GCGGCCGUAGUCUAGUCUGGUAGGACAUCCCUAGAGACCUAUGACCAGCCUGCCAAGCUGGUAGUCCCGGGUUCAAAUCCCGGCGGCCGCA
rnacentral:tRNA from 1 species